UUUUACCCCAGAUCCAUCAUCAAGUGGGAAAAGUUUUUGAACAAUCCCCUUACCAAAAGAAGUUUUUCCAACAAUUUUUGCCCUACUCCUAUCCUUAAAAGCUCCAGCCAAAAUUUCAGAAGCUGAGGCAGAAUUUUCAUUAAUAAGGACAGUCAUAGGAGUUUUGUCCAUUUCCUUAUCACUUUUUUCAACUAUUUUUUCACCUUUUUUGUCAACAGUUGAAACAAUUACACCCUCAUCCAAAAAUGUAUCGGCAAUAGCAAGACAAACAUCAAGAUUACCACCAGGAUUGUUUC
rnacentral:ncRNA from 1 species